rnacentral:rRNA from 1 species
GACGAACGCUGGCGGCGUGCUUAACACAUGCAAGUCGAGCGGAGCGGCGAACGGGUGAGUAACGCGUGAGUAACUGCCCCCCUCCCUGGGAUAACAGUUGGAAACGGCUGCUAAUAACGGAUAGUGGGGGAUGACUCGCGUCCUAUCAGCUUGUUGGUGGGGUAGUGGCCUACCAAGGCGACGACGGGUAGCCGGCCUGGGAGGGCGACCGGCCACAUUGGGCUGAGAUGCCGCCCAAACUCCUCCGGGAGGCAGCUGUGGGGAAUAUUGCACAAUGGGCGCAACCCUGAUGCAUCGACGCCGCGUGCGUGAUGACGGCCUUCGGGUUGUAAACCGCUUUCAGCCAUGACGCGGUAGUGGCAGAAGAAGCACCGGCUAACUACGUGCCAGCAGCCGCGGUAAUAC